rnacentral:rRNA from 1 species
GAUGAACGCUGGCGGCGUGCCUAAUACAUGCAAGUCGAGCGAACGGACGAGAAGCUUGCUUCUCUGAUGUUAGCGGCGGACGGGUGAGUAACACGUGGAUAACCUACCUAUAAGACUGGGAUAACUUCGGGAAACCGGAGCUAAUACCGGAUAAUAUUUUGAACCGCAUGGUUCAAAAGUGAAAGACGGUCUUGCUGUCACUUAUAGAUGGAUCCGCGCUGCAUUAGCUAGUUGGUAAGGUAACGGCUUACCAAGGCAACGAUGCAUAGCCGACCUGAGAGGGUGAUUGGCCACACUGGAACUGAGACACGGUCCAGACUCCUACGGGAGGCAGCAGUAGGGAACCUUCCGCAAUGGGCGAAAGCCUGACGGAGCAACGCCGCGUGAGUGAUGAAGGUCUUCGGAUCGUAAAACUCUGUUAUUAGGGAAGAACAUAUGUGUAAGUAACUGUGCACAUCUUGACGGUACCUAAUCAGAAAGCCACGGCUAACUACGUG